rnacentral:sRNA from 1 species
UGGCUUGAGGUCAGUAGUUGAGACCAGCCUGGCCAACAUGGUGAAGCCUCGUCUCUACAAAAAAUAAAAACAAAAAUUAGCCGGGUGUGGUGGCUCCCGCCUGUGGUCCCAGCUGCUCCAGUGGCUGAGGCGGGAGGAUCUCUUGAGCCUAGGAGUUUGAGCUAUCAUGGCGCCAGUGCACUCCAGCGUGGGCAACAGAGCGAGACCCUAUCUCUUAAAAAAAAAAAAAAAAAAAAGAGAAAAAAAAAGAAAGAAAGAAGUGAAGGUUUGUCAGUCAGGGAAGUUGUAAAACCAUUAAUAAAGAUAAUCCAAGAUGGUUACCAAGACUGUUGAGGACACCAAAGAUCUUGAGCACUUUCUAAAUACACUAAGCAAUGCACUAAGCGCUCUCACCUUUUCCCCUGGCAAAACAUGAUCGAAAGCAGAAUGUUUUGCUCAUGAGAAAAUUGCAUUUAAUUUGAAUACAAUUUAUUUACAACAUAAAGGAUAAUGUAUAUAUCAUCACCAUUACUGGUAUUUGCUGGUUAUGUUAGAUGUCAUUUUAAAAAAUAACAAUCUGAUAUUAAAAAAAAAAUCUUAUUUUGAAAAUUUCCAAAGUAAUACGUGCCAUGCAUAGACCAUUUCUGGAAGAUACCACAAGUAAUGGUGAUUGCCUCUGAAGGUCUAUUUUCCUCCUCUGACGUGUGUGUGGGUUUUGUUUUUGUUUUACUGUGGGCAUAAAUUAAUUUUUCAGUUAAGUUUUGGAAGCUUAAAUAACUCUCCUAAAGUCAUAAAGCCAGUAGCUGGUUGAGCCCAAAUUCAAACCCAGCCUGUCUGAUACUUGUCCUCUUCUUAGAAAAGAUUACAGUGAUGCUCUCACAAAAUCUUGCCGCCUUCCCUCAAACAGAGAGUUCCAGGCAGGAUGAAUCUGUGCUCUGACUCCUGAGGCAUUUAAUAUGUUCUUAUUAUUAGAAGCUCAGAUGCAAAGAACUCUCUUAGCUUUUAAUAUUAUGAAAAAAAUCAGGUCUUCAUUAGAUUCCCCAGUCCACCUCUUGAUGGGGCUAGUAGCCUUUCCUUAAUGAUAGGGUAUUUCUAGAGAGAUAUAUCUGGUCAAGGUGGCCUGGUCCUCCUUCUUCUCCCCACAGCCUCCCAGACAUGGAGGAGUAGCUGCCUUUUAGUGAUCAUGUACCCUGAAUAUAAGUGUAUUUAAAAGAAUUUUAUACACAUAUAUUUAGUGUCAAUCUGUAUAUUUAGUAGCACUAACACUUCUCUUCAUUUUUGAUGAAAAAGAUAGAGUUUAUAAUAUUUUCUUCCCACUUCCCCAUGGAUGGUCUAGUCAUGCCUCUCAUUUUGGAAAGCACUGUUUCUGAAACAUUAGGCAAUGUAUUCCCAACCUGGCUAGUUUACAGCAAUCACCUGUGGAUGCUAAUUAAAACGCAAAUCCCACUGUCACAUGCAUUACUCCAUUUGAUCAUAAUGGAAAGUAUGUUCUGUCCCAUUUGCCAUAGUCCUCACCUAUCCCUGUUGUAUUUUAUUGGGUCCAACUCAACUAUUUAAGGUAUUUGCCAGCUCUUGUAUGCAUUUAGGUUUUGUUUCUUUGUUUUCUAGCUCAUGAAAUUAGGUACAAAAUCAGAGAAGGAUCUGGCAUAUAAACCGUCAGCAGAAAUAGAGGUUUUGUUGUUUGGUAAGAACAUACCUGGGGUUGGCUGGGCGCCGUGGCUCGUGCCUGUAAUCCCAACACUUUGGGAGACCAAGGCAGGCGGAUCACUUGAAGUUGGGAGUUCGAGACCAGCCUGGCCAACAUGGUGAAACCCCGUUUCUACUAAAAAUACAAAAAUUAACCAGGCAUGGUGGUGUGUGCCUGUAGUCCCAGGAAUCACUUGAACCCAGGAGGCGGAGGUUGCAGUGAGCUGAGAUCUCACCACUGCACACUGCACUCCAGCCUGGGCAACGGAAUGAGAUUCCAUCCCAAAAAAUAAAAAUAAAAAAAAUACAGAACAUACCUUGGGUUGAUCCACUUAGGAACCUCAGGUAAUAAUAAUAACAUCUGCCACGUAUAGAGCAAUUGCUAUGUCCCAGGCACUCUACUAGACACUUCAUACAGUUUAGAAAAUCAGAUGGGUGUAGAUCAAGGCAGAAGCAGGAACCAAAAAGAAAGGAGUAAACAUAAGAAAAAAAAUGGAAGGGGUGGAAACAGAGUACAAUAACAUGAGUAAUUUGAUGGGGCUAUUAUGAACUGAGAAAUGAACUUUGAAAAGUAGCUUGGGGCCAAAUCAUGUAGACUCUUGAGUGAUGUGUUAAGGAAUGCUAUGAGUGCUGAGAAGGCAUCAGAAGUCUUUGAGAGCCUCCAGAGAAAGGCUCUUAAAAAUGCAGCACAAUCUCCAGUGACAGAAGAUACUGCUAGAAAUCUGCUAG